CUCCAGUGUGAACAGGCCAGACAUGCCGCACAGGGACAUAGAAAUGCAGAUAUACAGCUCCAAUGCAGCUAGACAGACAAAAUGCUGAACUGCAUGAAUAUCGAACAUCGAAAGUGCUAUUUCCUUUUAAGUGGUCCCCUGUCAGUUCAACUGAGACCUGUGGAUAAAUGCAGAACCUCGGCUGAAAACCAAGCUGAUAUUCUGGAGACCGACUGCAAUCCUGCUCACCAGAAAGCACCAUCUGGGUGGACGGGAACACCAUGUGACUACUCCCAAUCUGACAGGAAAAACUCAUGUUUGUCAAGGGCCUGACAGGUCCCGCUGUCCCCCGGGUCAAAUCUACACCUCAAUCGGCCCAGGGCUGGUGAACUGAGCCUGGUCCAAGCCAGGUCCUUCUG
rnacentral:lncRNA from 1 species